GGAGUCUGGACCGUAUCUCAGUUCCAAUGUGGCCGAUCACCCUCUCAGGUCGGCUACCGAUCGUCGCCUUGGUGGGCUGUUGUCUCACCAACCAGCUAAUCAGACGCGGGUCCAUCCUAUAGCGAUAAAUCUUUGACCCCUGUACGAUGCCGUACUGUGGUCUUAUGUGGUAUUAUCAGUCAUUUCUAACUGCUAUCCCACUCUAUAGGGCAGGUUACCCACGCGUUACUCACCCGUCCGCCACUAAGUUUAGAAUCACUAGGUUUCAUCUAAACUCCGUUCGACUUGCAUGUGUUAGGCACGCCGCCAGCGUUCAUC
rnacentral:rRNA from 1 species